UAACAUGAAAUACUUGAAAUUUCACGAAUUUUCCUGUUUUCCAAGUGUAUGUCGAAAAGGCGAUUGUGAUGUAACAGCUAGUACAGGACGGCAAAUUAAAUAGACAAUUCGAUUCAAUAUGCUGUAACGAUGAUGGAUUAAAUAUAAAAUUCCUUUGUCUAGCAUACUACCAAUUUCUUUGUAAAAACGUUUAAUGUUAAGUCUCCUUUAUUUUACAUACACUACACUACUACUACACAGCGUUAUCCUCGACGGGCCUGAUGUCUAUCUUACAUGUAGGAGCUACAUAGUGGAAAAUUUAAGGUAAACAACACUAAAUCGACAGAACAAGAUUAAUAUCUAUUUAGAAUGCAUAUAAAAUCAAAGUGAGACGUUGAAACAAUUUCCGAGGUACGUCUAAAAACCUCCAAAGGUCUCAAACAAAAUCAAACUCUAUCAAUCAUGACCGGUCGUAAACGCUCACGAACACUGAAAUGCUAUAGGAACGAAAGAGGGAUCUAAUUAUGUUUAGAGAUGCGCUAAGAUCAAUAGUCAUCGUCGCAUUUGCCCGUUAACAAAUAUUAUUACGAUUUAAAUGAAAAGCAGCUUUAUUAAAGAGCCUAAGGGAAGAAUCAAUGCUCCGAAAAAAAAAGACAAAGUAAAAGAGGGCGUAAACUGUAACCUAACGCAGAUGUUAUACCUCAAUAAUUAUACCAUUUUACACGAGCAAAAUGAAAAGACAGAAAGGAAUAUUCGGGAAAGCAAAACUAUUAAGUUCAUCAAAAAAUAUUUGUUCGUUAAAAACCAAAAGGAUUGUCUGGAGUAGCUUGAUAUAUACUGGCUUUCUUACCAGCUUCAUUCGCACCUUGCGCUCCACCAAAUGAUGAAUCAUAAUAAUUAGCAGGCUGCGUUUGUUGAUUAUAAUCGGAGGGCAUGUAUAAAGAAGCAUUCGAUACAGGAUCAUAACUCAUAGGGUUAGCCAUAUUCCCAGCAGGUUGAGCAUAGCCAUAUUCAGAAUAUCCCUCCAUUCCGGUUUGAUUGUAUCCAUAGGGUGUCUGUUGUUGCAUUUGCAUGGGAUCGUAAUAGUUCGACAUCAUCGGUUGUUGAUAACCCAUAUCAGGCUGCAUUUCUGUACCAU